UGGAGAGGUGGUGGGACAAUGGAGAUUAAGUGGGGAUAUCAGGCUGCUCAUAGCAACUGGGCAUGCCCCAGAGGACUCAGAGGGCAGGAAAGAUGAUGCAGGAGGGAAUCUAACCUGUGUCGUUCUGGAUCAGCAGGUGGGUAGAGAGGUGGCAGGACAAUGGAGGUCCAUUGGGGAUAGCAUGGGGCUCCAGGUAUGGAAGCUGGGCUUCCCCAGAGGCCUCAGUGGACAGGAAAGACAAGACAGUAAAAUUAACCUGAAAGACAGUUUCAUGCUGUUCAACGUUUUCUUUCUUAAAGCAUUCCCAUAUAGCUAAGAAAAGAUUUGAAAAACUUAAGAUGUGAAAAUAUAUGCAUGCCCCCUCCCUGAGUCUCUGUGUAUGUGUAUAUAGAUACAUAUGUAAUGGUCAUGUGAUCCAUGCGCUUGACGUUGUGCAUAUGUCUGUGGUUUUUUUGUACAUGUGUUUUUGUUUGUAAAAAGGUGUAUCACUUUGAAGCUGGACACUCUGAAUCCUUCCGUAAAUUGAGUGUGUGGAUUUAGCAAAAGGAACCUUUGAAUCAAAGUUUCUGUUGGAAAUGUAGAAACAUUGCUAUAAUUUCUUUAUGGUUAUUGCUUUGUAGGAAACUAAGAAUAGUCUGAUUUUUUAAAACUCUGAACUGAUUUGCUUUACUAGUAUCAAUGUCGACAUAAUUUCUCUUUAGACUUGGUACUCAGUGACUUGAUUAAUGCUUCAAGAUGAUUAUUCUGUGUACUGGCUAGUUUUGUGUCAACUUGACACAAGCUGGAGUUAUCACAGAGAAAGGAGCUUCAGUUAGGGAAAUGCCUUCACGAGAUCCAGGUGUAAGGCAUUUUUUCAAUUAGUGAUCAAGUGGGGAGGUCCCCUUGUGGGUGGUGCCAUCUCUGGGCUGGUAGUCUUGGUUCUAUAAGAGAGCAGGCUGAGCAAGCCAGAGAAAGCAAGCCAGUAAGGAACAUCCCUCCAUGGCUUCUGCAUCAGCUCCUGCUUCCUGACAUGCUAGAGUUCCAGUUCUGACUUCCAUGGUGAUGAACAGCAGUAUGGAAGUGUAAGCUGAAUAAACCCUUUCCUCCUCAACUGCUUCUUGGUCAUGAUGUUUGUGCAAGAAUAGAAACCCUGACUAAGACAAAUUGGUACCAGCAUAGUGGGGUAUUCUUGUGACAACCUGACCAUGUUUUGGGGAGGACUGUGGAAGGACUUUGGAACUUUGGGCCAGAAGAUCCAUUCAGUGUUAAGAGCUCUGUAGAAUGUUGUAUAGGAGCUUGGAAGAUAAUGUUGAGAACAGUGCAGAAGAUGGAGGCCUGGCUUGUGAAAUUUCAGAGGGAAGAUUAAAGACUCUUUUCAGGGCCAAUGCUAUUUGGAUUGUAAAGAUUCUGUAGUUCUGGUUAGCUGGUGCUGAAGAAUCAGCUGUGAUUAAUAAGAUACCAGAACUACUAAAGUAAAACCUUUGCAUUACUGGGACUUUUGAUGCUGGUUAGCUGGAGCUAAGAAAUUAGUGGUGAUUAAGAAGAGACCAGCAUCAUUGAGAUGAUAUCUUCUGGGAAGUGUUUUCUGAGAGCACAGAGGCUGUGUUCCAGAGAUAACCAAGGUUGUACCUUGUGCUACUUGGUGGGACUUGGUUAUGUGUAAGAGUCACCCAGGUGGUACUGGUUUUGAAGGCAUGAAGGGGUCACACAGAACAGCUGAGGCUCGGCACUGUGAGAGGCCAUGGAAGGCCAUUGGUGAAGGUGCAGCCUCAGUUGCAAUUGAUGGCCCAGGAUUAAAGGGGUCAUGCAAAGGAGUUGAGGCUUGGUACCAUGAAGAGAGCCUAUGAGAGGCUAUUGUUGAAGCCAAGUUACAGUGAAAGAUAGCAGCGUUUUGGAGAUGCCAGUACCACGAGAUGACCACCAAGAACAGCAGCAGCAGUGGAGUACAGGCAGCUGGAUCCUAGAAGACAAACUGUGUGCUACAAAGGACAGUGCUGGAGAAGUGACCCAAGCCCUUGGAGGAGCCCAGAAGAUGGUUUCUCUAUGGAUGAAUAAUGUCUCCAGUGUACGUGUAUCAUAUUUUCUUUGCCCAUCCGUUUGUUGAUGGAAAACUGAUUCCACUUCGUAUCUGUUGUGAAUAGUAUAUAUCAAUGCCAUGAAUACAGAGUCUCCUGACCUCUUUAGAGACUGGAAGAAAGAUGAUGCCCUCUAGUGCUGUGGACAGUUCAGCCUGCAAGCCGUGAUUCAUCAUUACGUUCUUCGUCGGCCCCUGAGAGGCUCCUUCAUCAUCAUCCAUCUUUUUCUAGAAGAGAUCUUUAAAUCCCACUUUGUUUAAGAAGAAUAAUGUUGCUGCCUUUUGUGGGAAUGGGCUCCUGAUGGUGGAAUAAAGAUGUCCCUGGCUGCUUAUGAUUCAAAGCCAAUUCAAAACAUUGUUUCCCCUCGACGAUGAUGAUAGACACAGGGCAAAUGUUCAUUUUAUGCCUGCUGAUGGGAAUUAAGAUUGAUUAACUCUGCUUAAUAAGGAGCCUGG